UCAACACACUUUAUACUAACAAAAAAUUUACAUGUAUCUACAGGUAGCAACACCACCAACUGAUCCUGAGAGAAGUGACGACUAGGAGUGAAAAAAAGUGCUUGGGACAGUACAGAAAACCAUGCCGACAACAACAAGAAGCAUGACGAACAGCAAAGAAAGAAGCUUAAAAUUAAAGAAUGAUCAAAGGGCUACACAUCUAACACCUAGGCACACAAACGGAACGACAUUUUGGUGUGCAGGAAACAGCAAUGUCGGCAGCUGCUUUCGCUAAGUUGCAGAAACAACUUUUGUUAACACACACUCUUGCUAAGUAUCUUUUAGUUCAAUACAUAGAACAAGAUAUACGAGGUGACAUUAGGUUUUACCAUACCUAACUUUUGUGCACGAAGAUUAUGUUAACUGCCUGUGGUAGGCCAUCGUAUAUGAAUUUCUGCAACGCCUAGACUGCAACCAAUAUGCUGUAUUACAACUCGCUGCCCACAAUGUACCCACAGUUUAGUGGUUCUUA